rnacentral:lncRNA from 1 species
GAUGCUAUUGGUACUUGCUCACGCUCAUUUCUCAUGUUUAUGUUCAGGCCUAACCUCACAAAACUUUGGUAUGCACUCACGUAUAAUCAGGGCUUGCUUAUUUAAAUUCUUGAAUUCAUUUUAUAUAUAUUAUAUCAUUAUUAUUUGUUAUCAGUUUUUUGUUUACGAUUUCCAAUUGGGUAAUAUCCCAUCAUACUACUAGGCAUUGGCCAGGUACUGGACUUUGGCUGGUUGUCAAUAUAAGCUUUGUGUUCUCCUUUGUUUUUACCUCAUUUAUAAAGUCCUUGAUUGAGCAAGCAUUUGAUUUCUAUGCCAACAUAGAUCUUAUUGCUCAUCAAAGGUAUCUAAAAGUUGUGUGCUCUGCAAUAGAUGGGUUGUGUUAGUCAAUAGAAAUACCUAAUAUGUCAGUUUUGUUGCCAAAUAUUUUAAACACAGAUAUAUACAGAGUUCUAGAACAGAAGAUGAUCUGGUGGUUACCUUUCUGUUAUUUACUCGAAUGACUGUACGUAUAUCUUACCUUCAGACUUUAUCCGAUCUUAGUUAGUUUUCCAUCUCCAAUCAGAUUAAUGGUUUGCAUGCAGACCAAGCCCAGUGUUCUAUGGUGUUCUUAUUCCUGAUUUAGUUGUACAUUUGACUUUUAGUUUCUUCAUAGAUAAUAAAGUAGUGGCAGAUGACCCAGUAAGUUAUUUGUGCCCAUGCUUUGCUGUAAGCAUUAAAUUUGCUCUCUGCUUUUACUUUCGAUGUGUUAUCCGUACCCCUGCUUUUUGUGGCUAAUUAUUAUCUCCUAUCAACAUAUGCAGAGUCCAUGGUAUCAUACGAUUUGAAGUUGAAAAAUUCAUGCUAUGGGUGAUACGGAAAAGGCAUUGCCUUCUUUGCUGGAACAUUUCCUAAGAUGAUCUAAGGUAAUUAUUUUAGUCACCAUGUCAUUUAUAUGCUAAAUUCAGUGCAUUGACAACUAGAGAUCGCUUCCUUUUUUGUGUAUUGAUCAUUUCAGUACGAUUGUUUGAUACACUGCCGACAUCAUUUUGCUUCUUCUUGCUUGGUAUUUCAUUUAUUUCCUCCAGCAAGUGGAUGGCUAUUUCCACUGCUUCAGGUUUCGUUUUGGCUCUAAUUGUGUGUAUGGCAUCUUGGCCUUCUUAGGUGAAGCAGUUAUGAAUAUCCUCGCUGAUCUAUGGAUCUAUCAUUGUAAGAGUCGAUGAUAUAUGGUGAGCUGCCUCACACCAUCAUUUGGUCUUCGUAGCAUUUGAGUUGGCAAAUUUGUUGGAUUCAUGCGAUUAGGCAUGGUAAGUGCUCAGAGACUCAUAGCUCUAUAACUGUUUGCUUCCAAAAGUUUUGAAUCUUUUCUGCGCUUGGUCCUCUCAUUGGUGAGAGUAGCCAUGUAAAUCAAUCUGCUAUGGGAAAUGGGAGUUUGCAAACUACCGGAGUCUAAUUGCUGAGGGACGAGGUUCGUAACUGAGGGUCAUGUGCAGAGCUGGAGGAAGAAGUUGCGAGGCUUGGAACUCUCCUUGUGAAGGGCUCAGGGACAGCAGUGAGGACAAUACCUCUUUAGUUGUAAUUGUGAUACUCCUGAUGUGCAAGUAAUCGCUCCUGUGAUACUCCUUAUACUAAAAUGUUGGUUGUUAGUACAGAGGUGUUGACAUUAUUUGGUUCUCUGGUAUUGAUUUCAUGAUUUGUGGUUAAUACAUGAUCUAAUACAAUCCACAUUGCAGUAUAUUUCCAGUUACAUCUCC